AAGGGACUUGCGGCUGAAGGCAGCGCACGUGCACGUGACAUUUAAUCAACGCCUCAGACAAAAUGAAAAUUUUCGUUUCUGCACUCCUGGUCGGCCUGGCUGCCGCGGACAUAACUAAGUGCAAAGCAAAAGCACCAAAUACAACGAAAGCCUGCAAGCUCAACGAUGUGUCGAGUGUCGGUUUUUAUGGUUAUAACCCAAAGAAAAAGAAAUGCAUGAAGUACCCACAUUGCAGUUUCAUUACCGGAGACGCAUUUUCUUCACGGGAAAAAUGCUAUCAGACGUGCGAUGAAAGCUCCCCAUGCCUGGACACCUCCUAUUCAGAGUACCAUGAUGUCUAUCCUUUUGGGGUGACGCCAACGACUUACCACUAUUAUGACCCAUACACAGAUGACUGCGUAGAAAUAGACACUUACGGACUCGAUGCUUCAGACUUUUGGCCAAAUCAUAACGUAUUUACAACUUACAAAAAAUGCAGAAAUGAAUGUGCACCAACAUACUCCAAGAGAAAACCUAGGCGUCACUGACUAACACAUAGUCACACUUUACGUAC
rnacentral:lncRNA from 1 species